rnacentral:rRNA from 1 species
GGGCCCGCACAAGCAGCGGAGCGUGUGGUUUAAUUCGAUGAUACACGAAGAACCUUACCAGGGUUUGACAUGCAAGUGGUAGGGAUCCGAAAGGUGACCGACCCUUCGGGGAGCUUGCACAGGUGCUGCAUGGCUGUCGUCAGCUCGUGUCGUGAGAUGUUCGGUUAAGUCCGCUAACGAGCGCAACCCUCGCCGUGUGUUACAAGUGUCACGCGGGACCGCCGGUCUUAAGCCGGAGGAAGGUGGGGAUGACGUCAAGUCAGCAUGGCCUUUAUGUCCUGGGCUACACACACGCUACAAUGGCCAGUACAACAGGUAGCGAAGUCGCGAGGCGGAGCCAAUCCUCAAAGCUGGUCUCAGUUCAGAUCGCAGGCUGCAACUCGCCUACGUGAAGAUGGAGUUGCUAGUAACCGCAGGUCAGCUAUACUGCGGUGAAUACGUUCCCGGGCCUU